UACGUAGGGUGCAAGCGUUACUCGGAAUUACUGGGCGUCAAGCGUGCGCAGGCGGUUAUUUCAGACCGGUGUGAAAUCCCCGGGCUUAACCUGGGAACUGCAUUUGUGACUGCAUAGCUAGAGUACGGUAGAGGGGGAUGGAAUUCCGCGUGUAGCAGUGAAAUGCGUAGAUAUGCGGAGGAACACCGAUGGCGAAGGCAAUCCCCUGGACCUGUACUGACGCUCAUGCACGAAAGCGUGGGGAGCAAACAGG
rnacentral:rRNA from 1 species